AAAGACUUAGUCCUAACCUUACUGUUAAUUCUUACCAGACUUAUACAUGCAAGUAUCCGCAUCCCAGUGUAAAUGCCCUCUCCCCCUCAUACUAUGUGGGAAAAGGAGCAGGUAUCAGGCUCACCCACCAAUCACCGCCCAAGACGCCUUGCUCAGCCACACCCCCACGGGUACACAGCAGUAACUAACAUUAAGCAAUAAGUGUAAACUUGACUUAGUCAUGGUAACCCAGGGUUGGUAAAUCUUGUGCCAGCCACCGCGGUCAUACAAGAAACCCAAAUUAACUGUACACGGCGUAAAGAGUGGUAACAUGUUAUCCCAUUAACUAGGGUCAAAGUACAACUAAGCCGUCAUACGCUAAAGAUGUACCUAAGUCUACCUCAAAAUGAUCCUAGCCACUGUUGACCAAUUGAACCCACGAAAGCUAAGACCCAAACUGGGAUUAGAUACCCCACUAUGCUUAGCCCUAAAUCUCGAUGUUCACCUUACCAGAACAUCCGCCCGGGAACUACGAGCACAAACGCUUAAAACCCUAAGGACUUGGCGGUGCCCUAAACCCACCUAGAGGAGCCUGUUCUAUAAUCGAUAAUCCACGAUCCACCCAACCACCUCUUGCCAAUUCAGCCUACAUACCGCCGUCGCCAGCUCACCUCCCCUGAGAGAACAAUAGCGAACACAAUAGCCUAACCCGCUAACAAGACAGGUCAAGGUAUAGCCUAUGAGAUGGAAGAAAUGGGCUACAUUUUCUAAUAUAGAAUAACCACGGAAGAAAGUAUGAAAUCACUUUCAAAAGGCGGAUUUAGUAGUAAAGAGAGACAAUACUGCCCUCUUUAAACCGGCCCUAGGACACGUACAUACCGCCCGUCACCCUCCUCAUAAGCCCCCAACUAACAUAUCUAAUAUCUCUCCCAGCUAAAGACGAGGUAAGUCGUAACAAGGUAAGUGUACCGGAAGGUGCACUUAGCACAC
rnacentral:ncRNA from 1 species